rfam:Gossypium raimondii Chr04_contig_1275, whole genome shotgun sequence.
UUUUUAUCCAUUUCUACAUAUAAAAACUGGCGUAGUUGACAAAAUAACUAAAUAGUUACAUAUGGCGUGUCACGUGUAUCUCGUGACAACGUACACUGAAUCAGUUUUUGAUAGUAGAAAUGGAUAAAAA